UACAGAGGUCCCAAGCGUUGUUCGGAUUCACUGGGCGUAAAGGGUGCGUAGGCGGCGCGGUAAGUCGGGUGUGAAAUCUCGGAGCUUAACUCCGAAACUGCAUUCGAUACUGCCGUGCUUGAGGACUGGAGAGGAGACUGGAAUUUACGGUGUAGCGGUGAAAUGCGUAGAUAUCGUAAGGAAGACCAGUGGCGAAGGCGGGUCUCUGGACAGUUCCUGACGCUGAGGCACGAAGGUCAGGGGGAGCAAACGGGG
rnacentral:rRNA from 1 species